GACGAACGCUGGCGGCGUGCUUAACACAUGCAAGUCGAACGAUGAAACCUAGCUUGCUAGGUCGAUUAGUGGCGAACGGGUGAGUAACACGUGACUAACCUGCCCCUUUCUCUGGGAUAACGCUUCGAAAGGAGUGCUAAUACCGGAUACUCACAUCGAGGCACAUGCCUUGAUGUGGAAAGUUUUUCGGAAAGGGAUGGAGUCGCGGCCUAUCAGCUUGUUGGUGAGGUAACGGCUCACCAAGGCGACGACGGGUAGCCGGCCUGAGAGGGCGACCGGCCACACUGGGACUGAGACACGGCCCAGACUCCUACGGGAGGCAGCAGUGGGGAAUAUUGCACAAUGGGCGCAAGCCUGAUGCAGCGACGCCGCGUGAGGGAUGAAGGUCUUCGGAUUGUAAACCUCUUUCAGUAGGGACGAAGCGAAAGUGACGGUACCUAAAGAAGAAGCACCGGCUAACUACGUGCCAGCAGCCGCAGUAA
rnacentral:rRNA from 1 species